GGCAAGAUGGCCGAGCGGUCCAAGGCGUGUGACUCAAGCGAAAGCUUGCCUGCUAUUGUGGGUCUUCUCAUCUGGGUAUCCAGGCGCGGGUUCGAAUCCCGCUCUUGUCA
rnacentral:tRNA from 1 species